rnacentral:rRNA from 1 species
GUGGGGCCUGUCGAUCCAGCCGCAAGCGGAUCAGGGAGUUACCAAGAAAUCAGCUAGAGGAAUGGCAUGGGAAGGCCAACCGCAGAGGGUGAGAGUCCCGUAUUCGAAAGCUGAGAUCCUCCCGCAGCAACCCCGAGUAGCGCCAGACACGGGAAACCUGGUGUGAAUCCGCGGGGACCACCCCGCAAGGCUAAGUACCACUGAACGACCGAUAGCGUAAUAGUAGCGCGAGCGAAAGGUGAAAAGUACCCCGAUAAGGGGAGUGAAAUAGUACCUGAAACCAUAUACUUACGAGCGGUCGAAGGCCUAUGGCUCUUAGGAGCAAUGGCUGACGGCGUGCCUUUUGCAUAAUGAUCCGGCGAGUUACGCUGUCUGGCAAGGUUAAGGGCCUCAGGUCCGGAGCCGAAGGGAAACCGAGUGUGAAUAGCGCGAUUUAAGUCAGGCGGCGUAGACCCGAAAGCGAGUGAUCUACCCAUGAGCAGGGUGAAGCGAAUGUAACAGUUCGUGGAGGCCCGAACGGGUAUAGGUUGAAAACUGUUCCGAUGACUUGUGGGUAGGAGUGAAAGGCUAAUCAAACUUGCAGAUAGCUGGUUCU